rnacentral:rRNA from 1 species
GUGCAAUCCGCCGCGGUAAUACGGAGGGUGCAAGCGUUAAUCGGAAUUACUGGGCGUAAAGCGCACGCAGGCGGUCUGUCAAGUCGGAUGUGAAAUCCCCGGGCUCAACCUGGGAACUGCAUUCGAAACUGGCAGGCUAGAGUCUUGUAGAGGGGGGUAGAAUUCCAGGUGUAGCGGUGAAAUGCGUAGAGAUCUGGAGGAAUACCGGUGGCGAAGGCGGCCCCCUGGACAAAGACUGACGCUCAGGUGCGAAAGCGUGGGGAGC